AAUGAACGCUAGCGGUAGGCCUAACACAUGCAAGUUGAACGCAUACUAUUACAGUAUAAGUAGCAAACGGGUGAGUAACGCGUGAGAAAUCUACCUUACAAUCUGGGAUAAAAUCCCGGAUUCUUUCUAAACUAGAUGUUCCGACAAAUAGUAUAGAAUAAAAGAUUAAAUGUCGUUGUAAGAUGUGCUCGCGUAGGAUUAGGUAGUUGGUGAGGUAAAAGCUACACCAAGCCGAAGAUCCUUAGCUGGUCUGAGAGGAUGAUCAGCCACACUGGGACUGAGACACGGCCCAGACGCUUUCGAGCGGCAGCAGUGAGGAAUUUUGGACAAUGGGCGAAAGCCUGAUCCAGCCAUAUCGCAUGAGUGAAGAAGGCUCAAUUGGUUGUAAAGCUCUGAUUUGAUUGAAGAUUAUGACAUAAGAUCAAAGAAGAGUCCCGGCUAACUCCGU
rnacentral:rRNA from 1 species